rnacentral:rRNA from 1 species
UACGUAGGGUGCGAGCGUUAAUCGGAAUUACUGGGCGUAAAGCGUGCGCAGGCGGUUCGCUGUGUCCUGUGUGAAAGCCCCGGGCUUAACCUGGGAAUGGCAUGGGAAACUGGCGGGCUUGAGUGCGGCAGAGGGGGGUGGAAUUCCGCGUGUAGCAGUGAAAUGCGUAGAGAUGCGGAGGAACACCGAUGGCGAAGGCAGCCCCCUGGGUCGACACUGACGCUCAGGCACGAAAGCGUGGGGAGCGAACAGG